rnacentral:rRNA from 1 species
CCUACGGGAGGCAGCAGUGAGGAAUAUUGGUCAAUGGUCGAGAGUCUGAACCAGCCAAGUAGCGUGAGGGAUGACUGUCCUAUGGAUUGUAAACUUCUUUUAUCAAGGAAUAAAACGUGGCACGUGUGCCUGUUUGCAUGUACUUUAUGAAUAAGGAUCGGCUAACUCCGUGCCAGCAGCCGCGGUAAUACGGAGGAUCCGAGCGUUAUCCGGAUUUAUUGGGUUUAAAGGGAGCGUAGAUGGGUUGUUAAGUCAGUUGUGAAAGGUUGCGGCUCAACCGUAAGACUGCAGUUGAUACUGGCAGUCUUGAGUACAGGAGAGGUAGGCGGAAUGCGUGGUGUAGCGGUGAAAUGCAUAGAUAUCGCGAAGAACCCCGAUUGCGAAGGCAGCAUACUAAACUGUGACUGACAUUGAGGCGCGAAAGUGUGGGUAUCAAACAGGAUUAGAUACCCGGGUAGUC